AAAAAUUUUUUUAACGUUUAUUUAUUUUUGAGAGACAGAGACAGAGUGCGAGUGGGGGAGGGGCAGAGAGAGAGGGAGACACAGAAUCUGAAUCAGGCUCCAGGCUCUGAGCUGUCAGCACAGGGCCCAACGCGGGGCUCGAACUCACAAACCGUGAGAUCAUGACCUGAGCCGAAGUCGGACACUUAACCGACUGAGCCACUCAGGCGCCCCGAACUAUUGCCAUUUUUGAACUUUGGGAGAUUCAAGAAGCUCUUGGGAAGUAUCUCUCCUGAAGACCAGGCAGCCGCCAUGGGCUCUGACCCCAGUCACACGAACCAAUUAAUUGGGACUUUUGGUGGUUAUUAUUUGUUGUUUUCUCUCAUCCAGACCGGCAGCCCGAAUUCAGCUACCAUGGGGCAGAGUGAGUGGUUAAUAUGGAAGAGAAGCGGACCAGAGGUCCUCAGAGGACCAGAAGCCCUGCAAACAAGUAAACCUAUAACUUGGUUUCUGGAGCAGAAGGUUGUGGUUUCAGGGAACACUUCCAGAAAACUGGUAACUCUGGGGCUGUCCUGCCAGGAGGGAGAUUAAGGGAGAAACCCCAGGUGAGGGGGCUAGUUUGGAAAAUUGCAGGCAACGUCAUGCACUGCCCAAGUGCACCUGCUCCUGGAGUGCAUGCUACAGCGGCGGGAGAGGGAGAGAAGACAAUAAAUAAGCUAUCAAGGUGGGGAGCCACUCUGGUUUUUCGAGGAAACUGUUCUUGCAGUUGACGCUCAACUCCCACCCUGGGUGGUCUUGAGUCCCGGGUCGACGCCUCAAGGGCCCCUGCUCGGCCGGGGUGCGGCUCUCUCCCCGUCUAGGGCUCACGUCCCAGCCCCAGAGUCACUGCCUCACCAAAAUCCCGCAGGGAUCGCUGAACGGGAGGGGAGGGGCAGGGGCAGGGGGCGGAGCACAUAGGGGGCGCUGCGGGGCAGGAGGCGGAGCAGCGCUCCAGAGCCCCGCCUCCGAGCACGGGGCAGGGGGUGCGGGCCACGCCCGCGCACUCCCCUGCAGCCUCGCGCGGGCUCAGUCCCACCGCGGACCCCGCCUCCGGGAAGACGCCCCGCGUUCCCCCUUCCGCCUCGGGCAGCCGGGCGGGGUACGCGAAGUAGCGACUUUCUGCGGUACCUUUACGCAGGGUCGCCAUCUAGUGACGGCAGGAUAUACUGCUGCGUUCGGCCGCGAAGCCGGCCGACGCUACAAGUUGGGAACGUUUCUGGUUAGUGCGAGAACGCUUUAGGGUGGGGAGUAGACCCAAUCCUAGGCCCCGUUGGGGGGCUGGGGUGCGCAGAUCGCUGGCCCUUCGCUCACCUGCACCCCGUGGCCCGGGCCCACCUCCUAGAGGAAGGUGGGCCUUGGCCACAUAUGAGUAAGGCCUCGUGUUAACAGUGCCCUGGUCUUUGAAAGGGCAGGCCCGUGGCCCCAGUGAGGUUGGCUCUGAGAGCAUUCUGCAGAACACCUGUCUGCAAGGGUGUCUGGCUUAGGAAAGCCCAUUCUUUGUCGGGGUGGGGGGGAGGGAGCGGGGAAAGGCGUUCGGGGAGACAGGGGUCCCGGAGAGAACUCCACCGGUGACUAAGAGCUCAGAACAGGCCUGUCCUCCCUGAGUGCCACCUCCGGAAGAGAGGGCAGGGGAGGACAGAACUCUCGGGUUCCUGAAACAGCCUCUGGGAGAGCCACCUCAGCCCCACCCCCAACCCCACUCCUGGGGUCUGCAGGCACAGACCCAGGGAACAAGAGCCUUCGGCAGCACACAUUAAGAAUACUUCAUGUGCAAAGACACAUCUCCAGACUGAAAGGUCAUUACAGUCCCAGUGGACAAAGAUUAAGGAGAAGCCAGCCGUGCUUUGGUUUAUGCUUUUAUAACUCUUGGGCCUGUUCACGUGGGUCAGAUACCAUCACUCUUCCCGGACCAGUGAACGCCAUGGUGUGGGGGCAGGAAGGAGUGACAAGGGUGCCUGCUGAGCCACUCCCUGGAACCAGCCCCUGACCUGGAACUGGACUUAGAGGCCCUGUGCCCAGCCCCUGAGACUGGUAAAGACACUGCUCAGUAACGCAGUUAACAAACGAAGAGAUGGUCAAGUUCACCCAUAACUAAAGAAAUGCAAGUUGAAGUUUCACAUUUUUGCCCAUCAGAUUGAUAAAGACUAAGAAAAUUGAUCAUAUCAAGUGCUGGGGAGGCUGUGGGGAACGACCCCUCAUCCACUGUUUGUUCAGCUUCUUAUGAAGAAUUUGGGGACUUUCGACACUGUCCAUCAAAUACAAAACUGUGACCACCCUUUGGCUCAGCAGUUUCAUUUUAACGAAGCUAUCUGAAGAUAACAUCGGUUUGAUGUUUAAAAACAGUGCAUGAGGAUGUCACUGAAUUAUAGCUGUAGCUUUUGCAUUGAUUUUGCUCAAACAGGACUGCCUGUCCACAUGGAAACAACUCGAAUGUCCACCAGCAGGAGACUCCUUAAAUAAAUUAUGUAUGGGGAGCUACCCUCCUGGAGCUCUGACACCUCCCAGCCCUGGCUCUCUCAGAUCCGUGCCAAAUUCCUGCGAGGGAGAAUCCGAUUGGCCCAACUGUUAGCUGUGACGAAGGGGGGGGGGCACAGAGACCACCUGCAUCCUGGAGAGCCAUUGCCACGGGGCGGGCAGCCGCCUGAACGGUGACUUGUUUGCAGUGGCUGCCUGCGGUAAGAAAGUAAUAAACUGAGAAGCUCGAAGGACAGAAAUGUAUUCUCUCACAGAAGGACAGAAAUGUAUUCUCUCAUAGUCGCGGAGGCAAGAAGUUCAAGGUCGAGGCUUUGGCAGGGCUGGUUCCUUCUGAGGUCUGUGGGAAGAGAAUCUGUUCUAGGCCAAUCUUCUAGCUUUGGUGGUUUGCCAACAAUCUUUGGCCUUCCCUGGCUGGUAGACACCCUGAUCCCUGCUUCAUGUUCACACGCUGUUCUCCCUGUGUGUGUUUGUGUCCAAAUCUCCCCUUUUUUAUAGAAGGAUACCAGUCAUACGGGAUUAGGGAACCAGCCUAAUCCAGAAUGACCUCAUCACAGUAACCACCCUAAUCCCAAAUGAGGUCACGUUAUGGGGCUCUGGGGACUAAGACUUUCACAAAUGAAUUUGGGGCGGGACAUGCUGGAGAGACCAAAUUCAACCCAUAGCUUACCUGUGUGGUCAAGGUCCGGAGAAAGAUCUGGGCUGGAGGGAGAGCUGGAGAGUCAGUGACCUAAUGGAGUGUGAGGAGUCUCUGGAAGCAGAUGCAAAACCAGCA